AGUCAGAUAUGGAGGAGCUGCAAUCUCGCAUAGUAAUUGCCGAGAACUUACCUGAGGAUCAUUGCCACCAAAACCUCAUGAAGAUAUUUUCUGCUGUUGGGAGUGUUAAGAAUAUUCGAACUUGUCAACCUCAAAUCUCAGAUGGUGGAGCUUCUUCAACAUCUAAAUCCGCAAAAGCUGAUGGAAUGCAUUACAGUAACAAGUUGCAUGCAUUCGUGGAAUAUGAAUCGGUGGAGCUUGCGGAGAAGGCUGUUGCAGAAUUAAAUGAUGA
rnacentral:misc_RNA from 1 species